ACGCCAUCCGGCUCUCGCGUCGGCCGCCACCAGCGCGGCUCCGACCUUGUCUACCCUGUUGACCCCGCAACACCUCCUCGCCGUUCCAUCCCUGCGACUAACCCUAGCCGCCGACUUGUGCUGCGAGAAGUGAGGAGGGGAGUGGGGAGGCCGCGUCGCUGAGUGGGUGGAGCGGCUGUGGGAGGCCCCCGACUCGUGGAACGAUGACGCCGCCGCCAUUGCGGAACCCCGUGGCAGGGCGUUGCUACCUUGCGGCAGCGAGGAGCGGCGCAAGGCCAUGCCCUGCAUCGAGGAGGAACAUCGCCUUUGCCCCGAUCUGGAUCCGUUCCCGUCGCUAGAUCAAUGGAGGGGGACCUCCACCUUCGUCGUUCUUCUCCCUCUCCGACCUCCCGUAGUCGUGCUCCACGGAUCUGGCCGUGGACACAACCGACGCAGCUUCCCUGGCCACCACCAACGACGCCAGCGAGGUGGACAUGGUUGUCGCCGCUGAAUCCAUGGAGGAGCUCACCCCGGCCUUCUCCUCGUUUUCCUCCACGGCCGCGUCUCCUGAUCCCUGGUGGUGGUUUGCUACGGGUAACGACGGGCAAUGCAAGGUGAUCGAUUCAUGGAGUUUCUGGUGAAAAUCAGACAUUAGCCCAAUCUGUUGGAUAAUAUUCCUGUGGCCUCGAUCAAAAUGUAAGUGUUGUACUCUUGUAGAACAAUAUUAAGAGGAUGUGAUAUCAGCUAGCUGAAUUAUUUCUAACUCCUGCAUAAAAGGAUUUAAGUUGCCAUCCAAAUGAUCGAAACACAAAUGAGCCUGUAAUAUCAUAAUCAAUUUGUCUCUCCGGUACAUGGUUAUCGACGUGUAGAUUUUUGGUAAGCUUAUACUGUCGAUCUUCUGGUAAGGUGACCCUGUCAAUACUAAUACCAGUUUUGUGUGUGCAUGCAUGUUCUUGUCAUCUCAACUAAAUCUGGGUGGCCAAGUAUGCAUGCAGUUUAAACACUUCCUAUAAUUAUGAGUGCAUGCAUGCAUGUGAUUUUCUACACUAUGUGUCACACACCCAGACUUUACGAAAAUGUGAUCUAUUUUCAGGCAAGCAACGGCAGGCGUAGUUUAGACACUUCCUAUAAUUAUGCUUCUCUCAACUGCUCGUUUCUCCUCCGUGGGUCAGAGCAUUUAGAUGGCCAGUGGUGUUCAUGGCGGAUCGACGGAGGGUGCCUUUCCUUUGCAGAAUUGAGCGCAGGUUCCUUAUCAUAGUACAGACAUUUUGAAAACAUUAUGUUUCCUGCCAGCACAUUACUUGAGGUAUAAUUAUACUAUGCAUAUUUAGCAGAUACUAUAUACUGUUUGAGUAAUAAAAAUUUCAUACUUCAAAUUACAUAUCAGCUUUAGAUUGUUUCCUUAAAAACUAAGAGAUCUUUAUUUUGACGAAAAUGCAAGAUUGACUUUUCAUUCAUGAAGGUAUGGUGUGUCUCAAAAAUACGUGAAUUGUAUGCAUACAACGGGCCACAAGGACCAAAAAACUCUAAUCCGGCUCCCUCGGUCUUUGAAUCAGCUGGUUAAAAACCAAGAGAUCUUUUGGGGUUUGUAGUAGUGUUAUUUACUAGAGUAGCCAUGGUCCUUCAGAAAUUAGAAGUGUUAGCAAAACAAAGUUGAACAACUGAAGCUAUUUCCCUUAGCAUUGUCUACGUCUACUUGACCUUUCAUGGAAAUCUAAUGUAAACAUCAUGCAACAUGCGAUUGUUCUAGAAACCGGCGAUUGUUCCGUAGAAAAGCACGUGGGUUGGUUCUAUUAUGUUCAUCGGAAAGUCUGUAUAGAGGAGUUUGGACCGAGAGAAUGACAUAGAUUUGCGUGACUUUCCCUGUCUUUCAAGGUAGGUGCCUCCACCCCUUCCAAAAGCCGGUUCACAAGAUGCGGAUCCAACUCCGUGAAUUAGUUUCUGUUGUUACUUGCAUCUUGCUUGCAUUUUUUUCCUUGCAUUUCCUGUUUUCCCUAUCAUCUGCUUUAUAGAAGUUGCUACAUCAAAUUAAGUAAGUACAUUCUCCUUUCUUGUACAAGUUUAUCCUAUUUCGUUCAUCAGAAGUCUGUACAAAUGAGAUGGGGCUAAGAAAGUGACGUAUAUUUGCUUGAGGUUUUGAAUUAUUUUCUGCUUUCUGGUUUGCAUGCCAUACUGUUUGAUUACCGAGGAAAAUUAGUGGUGAGCAUCUCGAUCAAAAAGCUCAUGCAUUUGCCGUAAUCCACGGUAGUUUAUUGCAAUCUGAUCUGCACGGUAGAAAACGCUCAUAUUUGAUUUUGUUCUGUGCUUGCCAACAGUAAUACCUUGGGAUAUGCUUUUAUCAUAAAUGUAAAGAUUAUUGGUGAUGCUUUGUUACAGGAUAUGUGCCCCGCGCGUUGCAGCGGGAUUUUGCAUGAAAUAAAAAUUGCAUUGAAGUAAUCGACCUAGCUAGUGUCUUUAUAGUUUCUGCUGUAGUAAGAUAAUCUGUUUAUCAGUAUUUUACAAAUAAAUAAAUAAAUGCAUGUAUCUACGUAUAAGUUCAAAUUUGGACGAAAACAAAAUAAAUAUGAAAGCACGCCUCACUUUUCUUUCAUAGAGCACUUGAGUAUGAAACGAACGCCUAUGAGUUGCAUGCAUGGGUCAGUUUUUUGUCUUGAUUAAAACACUCACAGCAGUCACUACAUGCAUUUGCAUGCAUGUGGCCGUUAGUAAAUGUGUUGUUUGUGCAUCAGCUCUAGUGUGUAGAUCGAAUGGAUAUUGUUGAUUGAUCUAGUAUAUCCAACGGCUAAAUUAAUUCGGGUGAUGUGGCUUAAGGAGAAGCAAGAGAAUUCCUAGUAGUGGGGGCUAGCUAUUUAGAUAUAGUAGAUGUGGAGAGGCUUUUUGCAAUGCAAUUCAAGGCAGAUCAUAGAUUACGUGGCUAAGCACCUCAAUUAUAUUGGUAAUUGUUCAUUGUUUUAUUUAGAUUAAAAUGGUUUAUGUAUUCUACCGAAACAGUCAAAUGCCAUGUUAAUUUCAGAACCAUUUCUAAUUUAGUGUUGUGCUUGCACGUAUUUAUGACUAAAAUAAAAUUUCAAACCAAAACCGAGCCACGGUUUGUAUUUAAGUGUUGGAUAAUGGAUGUUUCAAUCGCUAAAUUUAAACUAAGUCUUGUGAUUAAAUUGUGGCCUCUAAGAUUGUGUCAUGUAAUCGUAAGUCCAAUGAGCAAUCAAUUUUAUUUAAUUUGAAUUAAGACGGUGGGAUGCACAUUAUUUAUAAUCCUUAUAUAUAGACACAUUGCAACGCACAGGCUCUUUAUCAUUGCAACACGGUGGGAUGCACAUUAUUUGAAUUAAGACGAUUGUGUCUUGAUUUAUCGCAUUGCAACACAGGCUCUUUAUCAUGAAAUAUAUGUAGCCUACAAUAUUGUGAGUGUUAUCUCUCCUUCAAGAGAUGUAGCCUUCAAUACUUUACUAGACCUUCUGUAGACAAUAAAGGAUAGAGAGGACAUGUUCUUUUUAGUUUUGUUAGUGAGAAAUGGGAGUGACACACAUGGAGAGAUAGAACAGCCGUGAGACUUGUGUGUUGCUGCUUGAUCUGCUCGGUGAGUGAGGAGGUGAGAAACAGCGACAUGGAGCUACAUUGGGUUUGCAAUUUAGGGAAUAGGAACCAUCUGAUGUAUAUCUUAAAAUAAACCGGAAUCGUUAGAAUGACUUGAAAAUUAGAACUACCCUAUAGUUUGGGCCCUUUUAGAUUAUUACUGAUACACAACCUUUGUACCAAAAUUCUAUCUACAGUUACUAUAGUCCUUGACUGUGAAGCAGCAACGAUGUAUCUCAAACUUUGGUUAUUUGUGUAAUAAGUUGCUGAUGUUUUUUUUGUGAUGCAUGUAGCUUUCAGCUUGCCAGGCUUUCAAAUCUUCAAGUGCCCAACGCCCUAGGCUACUAUGGAAGUUGUGGAGGUUAUGUAGUUGUCGGUACUAGAAGCGCUCAUUCUGUAUGUAUAGCGAGGUCACUUUAUUUGUUCUGGGCUUAUUUCUGAAUAUGUUUAUGUGUUAAGAUCAUGGGCAUGUAUAGAUUAUAAAAUUAUUUUGUUUCUAAAGUGAAAUAUUUUCUAUCUAUUGAUAAUAAAUGUAGGUUGCCUGCUGUC